AGCCUUGGCACACCUUCGUAUGCGUCUCUAGAUUUGCAUUCUAGCGUGAAUCACUACAAGAC
rnacentral:tRNA from 1 species